rnacentral:rRNA from 1 species
UACGUAGGGGGCAAGCGUUGUCCGGAUUUAUUGGGCGUAAAGAGCGUGUAGGCGGCCAGGUAGGUCCGUUGUGAAAACUCGAGGCUUAACCUCGAGACGUCGAUGGAAACCAUCUGGCUAGAGUCCGGAAGAGGAGAGUGGAAUUCCUGGUGUAGCGGUGAAAUGCGCAGAUAUCAGGAAGAACACCAAUGGCGAAGGCAGCUCGCUGGGACGUGACUGACGCUGAGACGCGAAAGCGUGGGGAGCAAACAGG